UACGUAGGUGGCAAGCGUUGUCCGGAUUUACUGGGCGUAAAGAGCGUGUAGGCGGCCAGAUAGGUCUGCUGUGAAAACUCGAGGCUCAACCUCGAGAUGUCGGCGGAAACCAUUUGGCUAGAGUCCGGAAGAGGAAAGUGGAAUUCCUGGUGUAGCGGUGAAAUGCGCAGAUAUCAGGAAGAACACCAAUGGCGAAAGCAGCUUUCUGGGACGGUACUGACGCUGAGACGCGAAAAGCGUGGGGGAGCGAACAGG
rnacentral:rRNA from 1 species